GGGUCUAUAGCACAAUUGGUUAGUGCGGCGAGCUCAUAACUCGAAGGUUCUAGGUUCAAGUCCUAGUAGACCCA
rnacentral:tRNA from 1 species